rnacentral:rRNA from 1 species
GACGAACGCUGGCGGCGUGCUUAACACAUGCAAGUCGAACGGAAAGGCCCUGCUUGCAGGGUACUCGAGUGGCGAACGGGUGAGUAACACGUGGGUGAUCUGCCCUGCACUUCGGGAUAAGCCUGGGAAACUGGGUCUAAUACCGGAUAGGAGCCAUUUUUAGUGUGAUGGUUGGAAAGUUUUUUCGGUGUAGGAUGAGCUCGCGGCCUAUCAGCUUGUUGGUGGGGUAAUGGCCUACCAAGGCGGCGACGGGUAGCCGGCCUGAGAGGGUGGACGGCCACAGUGGGACUGAGAUACGGCCCAGACUCCUACGGGAGGCAGCAGUGGGGAAUAUUGCACAAUGGGCGCAAGCCUGAUGCAGCGACGCCGCGUGGGGGAUAACGGCCUUCGGGUUGUAAACUCCUUUCGCUAGGGACGAAGCUUUUUGUGACGGUACCUAGAUAAGAAGCACCGGCUAACUACGUG